GACGAACGUUGGCGGCGUGCUUAACACAUGCAAGUCGAACGGAAAGGCCCUGCUUUUGUGGGGUGCUCGAGUGGCGAACGGGUGAGUAACACGUGAGUAACCUGCCCUUGACUUUGGGAUAACUUCAGGAAACUGGGGCUAAUACCGGAUAGGAGCUCCUGCUGCAUGGUGGGGGUUGGAAAGUUUCGGCGGUUGGGGAUGGACUCGCGGCUUAUCAGCUUGUUGGUGGGGUAGUGGCUUACCAAGGCUUUGACGGGUAGCCGGCCUGAGAGGGUGAACGGCCACAUUGGGACUGAGAUACGGCCCAGACUCCUACGGGAGGCAGCAGUGGGGAAUAUUGCACAAUGGGAGGAAGCCUGAUGCAGCAACGCCGCGUGCGGGAUGACGGCCUUCGGGUUGUAAACCGCUUUCGCCUGUGACGCAGCGUGAGUGACGGUAAUGGGUAAAGAAGCACCGGCUAACUACGUG
rnacentral:rRNA from 1 species